rnacentral:lncRNA from 1 species
CAGGAUAGCACAGAAGCAGAGACUUUAAGUCUAAACAGACCUAGAUUCAGAGCCGACCCGAUGCUGCUUGAAGAAGGCUGGAGGUAUGUUAAGGAGACAAGGGCUGUCAAGAAGCAGGGAUGUCUCUGGAAAGGCUCUAGCGAGGACUUCCAUUACUAUGUUGAAUAAAACUGUUCCCCUUGCUGCUGCCAUGUGAAGAAGGACAUGUUUGCUUCCCCUUCUGCCAUCAUUGUAAGUUUCCUAAGGCCUCCCUACCCCUGAGGAACUGUGAGUAAAUUAAACCUCUUUCCUGGCUGGGCACGGUGGCUCAUGCCUGUAAUCCUAGUCCUUUGAGAGUCCUAGGUGGGCAGAUUGCCUGAGCUCAGGAGUUCGAGACCAGCCUGGGCAACAUGAUGAAACCCCAUCUACUAAAAAUACAAAAAGUUAGCCAGGUGUGAUGGCAUGCACCUGUAGCCCCAGCUACUCAGGAGGCUGAGCCAUGAAAAUUGCUCAAACCCAGGAGGCAGAGGUUGCUGUGAGCCGAGAUUGUGCCACUGUACUACAGCCUGGGCAACAGAGCAAGACUGUCUCAAAAAAAAA